AGAGUUUGAUCAUGGCUCAGGAUGAACGCCGGCGGUGUGCCUAAUACAUGCAAGUCGAACGCGUUGGCCCAACUGAUUGAACGUGCUUGCACGGACUUGACGUUGGUUUACCAGCGAGUGGCGGACGGGUGAGUAACACGUAGGUAACCUGCCCCAAAGCGGGGGAUAACAUUUGGAAACAGAUGCUAAUACCGCAUAACAAUUUGAAUCGCAUGAUUCAAAUUUAAAAGAUGGUUUCGGCUAUCACUUUGGGAUGGACCUGCGGCGCAUUAGCUUGUUGGUAGGGUAACGGCCUACCAAGGCUGUGAUGCGUAGCCGAGUUGAGAGACUGAUCGGCCACAAUGGAACUGAGACACGGUCCAUACUCCUACGGGAGGCAGCAGUAGGGAAUCUUCCACAAUGGGCGCAAGCCUGAUGGAGCAACACCGCGUGAGUGAAGAAGGGUUUCGGCUCGUAAAGCUCUGUUGUUAGAGAAGAACGUGCGUGAGAGCAACUGUUCACGCAGUGACGGUAUCUAACCAGAAAGUCACGGCUAACUACGUGCCAGCAGCCGCGGUAAUACGUAGGUGGCAAGCGUUAUCCGGAUUUAUUGGGCGUAAAGCGAGCGCAGGCGGUUUGAUAAGUCUGAUGUGAAAGCCUUUGGCUUAACCAAAGAAGUGCAUCGGAAACUGUCAGACUUGAGUGCAGAAGAGGACAGUGGAACUCCAUGUGUAGCGGUAGAAUGCGUAGAUAUAUGGAAGAACACCAGUGGCGAAGGCGGCUGUCUGGUCUGCAACUGACGCUGAGGCUCGAAAGCAUGGGUAGCGAACAGGAUUAGAUACCCUGGUAGUCCAUGCCGUAAACGAUGAGUGCUAGGUGUUGGAGGGUUUCCGCCCUUCAGUGCCGCAGCU
rnacentral:rRNA from 1 species